CGAGCUCAAAGUAGUAUAAUUGACAGCAGCUGCAACACACCAACUCCAUUAUUCCAUGCAACUUUGAGGAGGUAGUCGUCACACCAAAGUCCUUUUCCUGCAUAAUGCAACUGUGUUCCUCUCAUUAUCUUCUUCAACCAGUCGUGUAAUCAUAAGACCAGUUAAAUUUAUUUGAUUAAAUCAGAAAGUGUGUCUGCCGUAAAGAAAAUUCAAGUUUUUCUACUACAAAUUGAUCUAAAAAGCAUCGGACGUCGACGUCCGAACUGUGUUGUGGGUGGAUGACGAUCGAUGAUCGUUCCACUUUAUUUCCUCCGUCCUUUCUUCGAUCGAGAUCUACUCAUCCACCGAUCGAUACAGCUAGAGAUGAGCACUAAUGGCGAUUCCAUCAUCCAGCGAAGCAACAUCGGAUCUUUACAGGGAUGGAGAUCCGUCCUAAAACACUCUAGGAAUCGAUUCACCGAGAGCAGAACUCGAUAUGAUUCACUGAGAACAAGCCAAGCUUUUGAAGGCACCUAUUGAAAGAAAGCCAGGCGUUCUCCAACCUCCUCCUCCUUUUUCUCUCCGUACCCAUCUUUUUGGGUCGAGAUUACUCGUUGGUUAAUGGCAAGUGAUCUCAAGUCAAAAGCCCACCUAUUUGAGUGCUUUGGUACCGCCGAUUGUUAUGACCGGAAGAGGCCAUAUAUACACCCACUCGAUGGUUUGUCACCACCCGUCAUGACAUGGCUGCCAUCCUCGUCCAGCUACUGGUGUCAGCCCUUCUUCUUCUCCUUCUCGUGACCAAUGGAGCGUCCUCGGCGAGGCCACACCCUCCCCCGGCUUCCGCCGGCGAAGCUCCGAAGGCUCCAAGGAGAAGCUCAACAUUAGCAGAGAAGGAGUCGGAGGCGGGUGCCAGCAGGAAGCGCGUGCCGCCUUCUGGGCCGAGCAACAAGGGACACGGCUCGCCGGAAUCCUCCACGCGCCAUCUGCUGCACCUGCACGCCGACCACGGUUGUGCCGGAAGACAGCGUUCCAUUUACGCGUCUGGUUAUGCACAGCCAAUGCAAAUCUCAUCGUUGCUUUCGCCCCUUCUCUUCGUCCGUGCGGAAAGUGUCAUCUCCAAAGUUGAUCGAUCGCUCACGGAGAUGACAGGAACGACUCGAUCCGAUCGAAACCUGAUAUGGAUUUGGUCAACGGUCAACUCGACGCGCCGAAAAUGUUCGUCUACUGUCUGGGUGGAACUCCUCGGAGACCUACAAAAAAAGAUAGGUGUCGUAUUUUAAGAUUGUCAUUCUAAUACAAGUUGGUGGAGAUCCGAGGUAAAGAGUUGGGGGAGAGAGAGAGAGAAAUGCUUUUGCAUAGGGGAUUAGCCCUCUAAUCGAUCUCUCAUUAAAACAAAUUAGCCGUAAUUUUUUUUUUAUCGUGAUUUAAAUAAAUACUAUUGAAAUAGUUUUUAUGUGUGUUAUAUUAACUUUAAUCUUUUUAUUAUAAUUCUUAAAAAUUAUAUUUAUAAAUAUCUUAUAAAUUAUGAUUAUUAAAAAUCAUAAGAAAAAAUAGACGUAUAAUAUUUUGCUCACGCUUCAUUUUGGCUUCUAACCUGCGCUUCACGGCUCUUUAUUUUCUUUCUCUCGACUUCUGUUUUAGGGUUAAAAACCGUCGGCGGAAGCUUUCCUCUCCGCUGCCGUCGGAGGAUUCCCGCCCCCCUCCCCCCUGCUUCCACGGGCGAAAGCUUCCUCUCCGCUGCCGUUGGUGGAUUCCUGGCCCCUCCCUCCCCCCCCCCCCCUCCUGUUUCCUCUGCUUCCACGGACGAAAACUUCCUCUCCGCUGUUGUUGGUGGAUUCCUGGCCCCUCCCCCCUGCUUCAACUGCUUCCGCCGGCGGAAGCUUCCUCUCCGCUGCCGUCGGCGGAUUCCUGCCUCCCUCUCCCUGCUUCUUCCGUCGGUGAAAGUUUCCUCUCCGCUGCCGUCAGCGGAUUCCCGUCCUCUCCCCCCUGUUGCCGUCAAUAGAUUCCCGCCCCCUCCGCCCUGCUUACUCUGCUUCCAUCGGCGGAAGCUUCCUCUCCGCUGCCGUGUGGUGUCUUUUGUUGUUUCUCUCGCCUUGCGUCUCCUUCCUUCUUCCAGUAGAAGAAGGAUCAAGAACUUUUAAUGUCCUAUUCCGCCAUUGUUAGGGAGACCGAGAAAUCUCAGCUCGAACAAUGAGGGUCGAUCAGGAUUUGUCUCUUCAUUCAUUAUAUAAACUUGUCUGACCGAUCGAGGAGUGAUUAGGGAUUGA